GGUUUGACAUGUUGGGGACAGCCGCAGAGAUGCGGUUUCCUUAUGGUCCCAUCACAGGUGGUGCAUGGCUGUCGUCAGCUCGUGUCGUGAGAUGUUGGGUUAAGUCCCGCAACGAGCGCAACCCUUGUCCUAUGUUGCCAGCGCGUAAUGGCGGGGACUCGUGGGAGACUGCCGGCGACAAGUCGGAGGAAGGUGGGGACGACGUCUAGUCAUCAUGCCCCUUAUGCCCAGGGCUGCAAACAUGCUACAAUGGCCGGUACAAAGGGCUGCGAAACCGUGAGGUCAAGCGAAUCCCAUAAAGCCGGUCUCAGUUCGGAUUGGAGUCUGCAACUCGACUCCAUGAAGCCGGAGUCGCUAGUAAUCCCGGAUCAGCAACGCCGGGGUGAAUACGUUCCCGGGCCUUGUACACACCGA
rnacentral:rRNA from 1 species